GGAUGUGAUGAUUUGUUUUUGACACCCAGUCUUACUUCUAUUAUAUGAAGCUGGUGAUAAACACUACAUUUAUCUGAUUC